UACGUAGGGGGCAAGCGUUGUCCGGAAUCAUUGGGCGUAAAGAGCGUGUAGGCGGUUCGGUAAGUCGGCUGUGAAAGUCCAGGGCUCAACCCUGGGAUGCCGGUGGAUACUGUCGGGCUUGAGUACGGGAGAGGCGAGUGGAAUUCCUGGUGUAGCGGUGAAAUGCGCAGAUAUCAGGAGGAACACCGAUGGCGAAGGCAGGUCUCUGGGCCAUAACUGACGCUGAGAAGCGAAAGCAUGGGGAGCGAACAGG
rnacentral:rRNA from 1 species